AGGCCUAGGAGAAAAACUCGAAUCCAAAUUUGCACUUUGGCACCUGCUAGUCC
rnacentral:tRNA from 1 species